rnacentral:rRNA from 1 species
UUGGGUUCGAUUCUGGCUCAGGACGAACGCUGGCGGCGGGCUUAAUACAUGCAAGUCGAACGCAGUCGACCUUCGGGUCACAUGACUGAGUGGCGAACGGGUGAGUAACACGUGAGAAACCUGCCUCGAAGACUGGAAUAACCCGGGGAAACCCGGGCUAAUACCGGAUAUCCCCAGAUGGUCGCAUGGCCGACUGAGGAAAUGCUCCGGCGCUUCGAGAGGGUCUCACGGCCUAUCAGCUAGUUGGUGAGGUAACGGCUCACCAAGGCAUCGACGGGUAGCUGGUCUGAGAGGACGAUCAGCCACACUGGGACUGAGAUACGGCCCAGACUCCUACGGGAGGCAGCAGUAGGGAAUCUUGCGCAAUGGGCGAAAGCCUGACGCAGCCACGCCGCGUGAGUGAUGAAGGCCUUCGGGUCGUAAAGCUCUUUCAGCAGGGACGAAAAUGACGGUACCUGCAGAAGAAGCCCCGGCCAACUACGUGCCAGCAGCCGCGGUAAUACA